UCCCUAUUGGCUCAGACGGUAAAGAAUCUGCCUGCAAUGCGAGAGACCUGGGUUCAAUCCCCAGGUUGGGAA
rnacentral:tRNA from 1 species